UGGGGAAUAUUGCACAAUGGGCGCAAGCCUGAUGCAGCCAUGCCGCGUGUGUGAAGAAGGCCUUCGGGUUGCAAAGCACUUUCAGCGGGGAGGAAGGCGGUGAGGUUAAUACCCUUGUCAAUUGACGUUACCCGCAGAAGAAGCACCGGCUAACUCCGUGCCAGCAGCCCCGGUAGUACGGAGGGUGCAAGCGUUAAUCGGAAUUACUGGGCGUAAAGCGCACGCAGGCGGUCAAUUAAGUCAGAUGUGAAAGCCCCGAGCUUAACUUGGGAAUUGCAUCUGAAACUGGUUGGCUAGAGUCUUGUAGAGGGGGGUAGAAUUCCAUGUGUAUCGGUGAAAUGCGUAGAGAUCUGGAGGAAUACCGGUGGCGAAGGCGGCCCCCUGGACGAAGACUGACGCUCAGGUGCGAAAGCGUGGGGAGCAAACAGG
rnacentral:rRNA from 1 species